rnacentral:rRNA from 1 species
GACGAACGCUGGCGGCGUGCUUAACACAUGCAAGUCGAACGAUGAACCCGGAGCUUGCUCCGGUGGAUUAGUGGCGAACGGGUGAGUAACACGUGAGUAACCUGCCCUUGACUCUGGGAUAACUGCGGGAAACUGUAGCUAAUACCGGAUACGACCCUCGGCGGCAUCGCCAGGGGGUGGAAAGAAUUUCGGUCAAGGAUGGACUCGCGGCCUAUCAGCUAGUUGGUGAGGUAACGGCUCACCAAGGCGACGACGGGUAGCCGGCCUGAGAGGGUGAUCGGCCACACUGGGACUGAGACACGGCCCAGACUCCUACGGGAGGCAGCAGUAGGGAAUCUUCCGCAAUGGACGAAAGUCUGACGGAGCAACGCCGCGUGAGUGAUGAAGGCUUUCGGGUCGUAAAACUCUGUUGUUAGGGAAGAAGCGAAAGUGACGGUACCUGCAGAAAAAGCACCGGCUAACUACGUGCCAGCAGCCGCGGUAA